rnacentral:rRNA from 1 species
ACGCUGGCGGCAUGCUUUACACAUGCAAGUCGGACGGCAGCACAGAGAAGCUUGCUUCUUGGGUGGCGAGUGGCGAACGGGUGAGUAACAUAUCGGAACGUACCGAGCAGUGGGGGAUAACUAAUCGAAAGAUUAGCUAAUACCGCAUAUAUUCUGAGGAAGAAAGCAGGGGACCAUUUGGCCUUGCGCUGUUUGAGCGGCCGAUAUCUGAUUAGCUAGUUGGUGGGGUAAAGGCCUACCCAGGCGACGAUCAGUAGCGGGUCUGAGAGGAUGAUCCGCCACACUGGGACUGAGACACGGCCCAGACUCCUACGGGAGGCAGCAGUGGGGAAUUUUGGACAAUGGGCGCAAGCCUGAUCCAGCCAUGCCGCGUGUCUGAAGAAGGCCUUCGGGUUGUAAAGGACUUUUGUCAGGGAAAAAAAGGGCGGGGUUAAUACCCCUGUCUGAUGACGGUACCUGAAGAAUAAGCACCGGCUAACUACGUGCCAGCAGCCGCGGUAAUACGUAGGGUGCGAGCGUUAAUCGGAAUUACUGGGCGUAAAGCGGGCGCAGACGGUUACUUAAGCAGGAUGUGAAAUCCCCGGGCUCAACCUGGGAACUGCGUUCUGAACUGGGUGACUAGAGUGUGUCAGAGGGAGGUAGAAUUCCACGUGUAGCAGUGAAAUGCGUAGAGAUGUGGAGGAAUACCGAUGGCGAAGGCAGCCUCCUGGGAUAACACUGACGUUCAUGCCCGAAAGCGUGGGUAGCAAACAGGAUUAGAUACCCUGGUAGUCCACGCCCUAAACGAUGUCGAUUAGCUGUUGGACAGCAUGACUGCUUAGUAGCGAAGCUAACGCGUGAAAUCGACCGCCUGGGGAGUACGGUCGCAAGAUUAAAACUCAAAGGAAUUGACGGGGACCCGCACAAGCG